rnacentral:rRNA from 1 species
GACGAACGCUGGCGGCGUGCUUAACACAUGCAAGUCGAGCGGUAAGGCCCUUUCGGGGGUACACGAGCGGCGAACGGGUGAGUAACACGUGGGUGACCUGCCCUCAGCUCUGGGAUAAGCCUGGGAAACCGGGGUCUAAUACCGGAUAUGACUCCAUGACGCAUGUUGUGGGGUGGAAAGCCUUGUGCGGCUGAGGAUGGGCCCGCGGCCUAUCAGCUUGUUGGUGGGGUGAUGGCCUACCAAGGCGACGACGGGUAGCCGGCCUGAGAGGGCGACCGGCCACACUGGGACUGAGACACGGCCCAGACUCCUACGGGAGGCAGCAGUGGGGAAUCUUGCGCAAUGGGGCGAAAGCCUGACGCAGCGACGCCGCGUGA